UACGGAGGGUGCGAGCGUUGUCCGGAAUCACUGGGCGUAAAGGGCGCGUAGGCGGCUUGGGAAGUCCGUGGUGAAAGCUCGUGGCUCAACUGCGAGUCGGCCAUGGAUACUCCUAAGCUCGAGUCGACUAGAGGCAGAUGGAAUUCCGGGUGUAGCGGUGGAAUGCGUAGAGAUCCGGAAGAACACCGGUGGCGAAGGCGGUCUGCUGGGGUCGAACUGACGCUGAGGCGCGAAAGCGUGGGGAGCGAACAGG
rnacentral:rRNA from 1 species